AGAGUUUGACCUGGCUCAGGACGAACGCUGGCGGUGUGCUACACACAUGCAAGUCGAGCGAAUGAAGUAGGUAGCUUGCUACUUAUGGAUUUAGCGGCGGACGGGUGAGUAAUAUAUAGGAAUCUGCCUUAGAGCGGGGAACAACAGACCGAAAGGUUUGCUAAUGCCCCAUAGGUAUGCAGUCUUCGGAUUGUAUAUUAAAGGAGUAAUCCACUCUAAGAUGAGCCUGUAUCCGAUUAGCUAGUUGGCGGGGUAAAGGCCCACCAAGGCUACGAUCGGUAGUUGGUCUGAGAGGAUGAUCAGCCACAAUGGGACUGAGACACGGCCCAUACUCCUACGGGAGGCAGCAGUGGGGAAUUUUACACAAUGGGGGAAACCCUGAUGUAGCGACACCGCGUGAACGAAGAAGCCUUUUGGGGUGUAAAGUUCUGUCGGCUGGAACGAAAAAAAUGACGGUACCAGCAAAGGAAGCAUCGGCUAACUACGUGCCAGCAGCCGCGGUAAGACGUAGGAUGCAAGCGUUGUCCGGAUUUAUUGGGCGUAAAGAGUUCGUAGGCGGUUAUUUAAGUCUGAUGUUAAAUACUGUGGCCCAACCACAGAACUGCAUUGGAUACUGGAUGACUUGAGUGCGGUAGAGGCAAGUGGAAUUCCCAGUGUAGCGGUGAAAUGCGUAGA
rnacentral:rRNA from 1 species